UCGAGAAUUUCUCACAAUGGGCGCAAGCCUGAUGGAGCGACGCCGCGUGGGGGAUGAAGGGUUUCGAUCCGUAAACCCCUGUCAUUUGCGAACAAACCUUGACUGUGAAUAGCGAUCGAGCUGAUUGUAGCGGAAGAGGAAGGGACGGCUAACUCUGUGCCAGCAGCCGCGGUAAUACAGAGGUCCCAAGCGUUGUUCGGAUUCACUGGGCGUAAAGGGUGCGUAGGUGGUCGGUGAAGUUCGGUGUGGAAGCUCGGAGCUCAACUCCGAAACGGCAUUGAAAACUCAUCGACUGGAGGGUCGGAGGGGAGACUGGAGUUCUCGGUGUAGCAGUGAAAUGCGUAGAUAUCGAGAGGAACACCAGCGGCGAAGGCGAGUCUCUGGACGACUCCUGACACUGAGGCACGAAAGCCAGGGGAGCAAACAG
rnacentral:rRNA from 1 species